GACGAACGCUGGCGGCGUGCCUAAUACAUGCAAGUAGAACGCUGAAGGAGGAGCUUGCUUCUCUGGAUGAGUUGCGAACGGGUGAGUAACGCGUAGGUAACCUGCCUGGUAGCGGGGGAUAACUAUUGGAAACGAUAGCUAAUACCGCAUAAGAGUAGAUGUUGCAUGACAUUUGCUUAAAAGGUGCAAUUGCAUCACUACCAGAUGGACCUGCGUUGUAUUAGCUAGUUGGUGGGGUAAAGGCUCACCAAGGCGACGAUACAUAGCCGACCUGAGAGGGGGAUCGGCCACACUGGGAAUGAGACACGGCCCAGACUCCUACGGGAGGCAGCAGUAGGGAAUCUUCGGCAAUGGACGGAAGUCUGACCGAGCAACGCCGCGUGAGUGAAGAAGGUUUUCGGAUCGUAAAGCUCUGUUGUAAGAGAAGAACGAGUGUGAGAGUGGAAAGUUCACACUGUGACGGUAUCUUACCAGAAAGGGACGGCUAACUACGUG
rnacentral:rRNA from 1 species